GUGUGUUGGUUUAGUGUAAAGUGGUUAAUGCAUGCCCGAGGCCAAAGGUCUAAAAGGUUCAUGUUUACUGUUACGCGAUCUUUAAAGUUAUUUAUUUUUCAAUAAAAUUAUUUAUGUCACCUAUGUGUAUGCUGCAGGCAUCAUACUGUGUCUGGAAUGAGGUUUGUAUUGUAGUGAUCUUCUGAUGCAAGGUGGUAACGCUCCAUGUUUCUGUGUAUGAACUUGUUCUGCAAAAUUUACAAGUUAAUAAUAAUAAUAAUAACAAUAAUAAUAAUAAUAAUAAUAAUAAUAAUAAUAAUAAUAAUAAUAAUAAUAAUAAUAAUAAUAAUAAUAAUAAUAAUAACUUACACUUCACUCUUGCCAACAAUUUCUGCAUACUCAGAUGCGCAGGCAACGACGACUCUUGUCAUCCAAUACACAGCAAUUGGGAUUUGAUUCGAUGCGAUAACCAUCGGUUCUGCAUCAUUUGAUAUGUAUUUUGAUGGAAAGCAACCAAAUUUAGCAAUGAACCUCGUCACCUCAAUCGACACUUUCACUAGGUUUAUAAUAGUCUCGAAUUUGGAUUUCAUCGAUGCAAAAAUCUCAUCACUCUCGUCGGGUAUUUGCUUGAGCAUCGCGACUAAUUUCGCGAGCGGAUCGCUCUUGUAGAGCCUCGCCACGAGGUUGUAUUGGCCGUAUUCGACUACAAAAGAGGCUAAAAUUAUCACGAUUUUAGCCUCCCAUUUGUAGUGUUCAAGCAGUUGCAGAAUUUCCAGUGCUGAGGCAUGGCCAUCCCCGCCCGAGCACUUGCAAUUCAACUAAAUCCAAAAAAGAAAAAAAGAAAAGAAAAUAAUAACGACAACAACAACAACAAUUAUUAAUAAAAAAUGAAAAAAAUGUAUAAUUAAGUAAUAUAAAAAGAUUCGAAUUCCAACCACACAGGUGAUCUGAUGUAACAGAUAGGGUAAGGUGUCCAGAAGGCCGUCGGGCCCCGGUGGGGCUAUGAUUCUCCGGAGCUUGCCGGCCUCGUCUGUCAGACCCUGAUCCUGUAUAAUGGCGACACUUGUAAAAUCUAAACUACCUUAAAAAAAAUGAAUUGAUAAAAUUAAAGAUUAAAAAGGAUAAAUUAACAAACUUACAUCACGAGGGGCGUCGUCUCCCGGCAUGACAUGAUUGAGGAUACCUUCGAUUGAGGCAAGAAGUGAUUCGUCAUCGAACUCGAUGACGUCAUUAGCAUGAAGUUCUAGAACUUUUCUUUCUUAGAGCCGUCUCAUCCGAAGAGGAAACUAGNAGUAUCGCCACUCCUCUCUCACGUACUUCACGAACCCUUGUUUGAUCAACCUCGGAUGCUCCAAAGAGUGCCACGGCAUGCUGCACUUCAACUCCACAACUCUAUCAUUAAAUUCUUUGGUUUCUUCGAUCUUUUCGACAAUCGGGAGCCACACGAUCUCGUAGUGGCACUCUGAUUUCUUUCUCUCUUUGUAGAAAUAUUUGAUUUGGUUGAUUUCUUCGACGGAGAUUUCAAGAUCUGAGAUUAGUAGCAGCACGGUUUUCCCUCUGAGAUCUUCCACACUUAUCUGUUUGGAUACAUUUUGGUAGAGCCUUCAGUCAAUUUAUGUGUUAAUUAAAGACAAAAAUACCUUUUAUUAUCAUAAAAGUAUAUUUUAUUGGUUUUUUUUAUUUGAUUAAUAUACGGGAGAUCAAGAAAAGGAUGGUUCAAAAAAAAAUGUAGUAACACAAUUAACAACUACUAAUAAUAUUUUCAUUAUUUUCACUAUAGAAAUCAGUAUGUCCCACAAUUUUUUGUGUCUCAUCGUAAUUUGAGUAUAUUUAUUAAAAAAAUAAAAUUUUGAAGCUAAAUAAAAUUAAAUACCCUAAUUAUGGAAUUAUCGAACCCUAAUAAUCAAAGAUUAACUAUAAAUUGCAAAUUAAAUUUUUAAAAAUAAUUAUAAAUUCUAAUUGAGUUAGUAAACUCAAAUUAAUAGUUAUAAAAUUAAAAAUUAAACUGAAGUAAUUGAAAUCGUCGACGAAAAAAAAUACUAUAAAAAUUUGAUGGUGGGUUCAUGGAUUUAUGGAACACCAAAAUAUGGGACAGAGGAUCCCAAGUGAAAAAAUUAUAUUAACAUAAUGCAUAAAUAAAUUUGUUAAAACUAAAAUUUAAAAAAAUAAAUAAAAAUUGUUAAAACUAAUAUUUGUAACAAAAUUUGAUUUAAUGAAUUGAUACCUUUGUUUCCACUUGAGGGCCACAUGAAAGAGGAUGCAAGCCAUCUUUCUUUUUCAUAAUAGUCUGUAAUAUUUUCUGGUUGUCAAUGUAGACUGUUGUCUGACCAAACAUUGUCUUUAGUUUCUCAACGUAUCUGAUUUGUUUCUUCUCCGCUGCAAAGUAUUUCCACAUAAUUAAUCCUUAUAUACAUAUAUGUGCUUAAUUAGUUAACAUUUUUCAUGUAUAAUUAAUAGGUCAAAUAUCAUAUUGUAACUCUCAUUUAAGAAAAUACUGUGACCUUUACAAUAUAAAAUAUUAGCAUCUGAUCUAUUGACUAAUUAAAAAUUAAUUGCAUGCUAAGAAAAUAUUAUGAACCCUCGUUGGAUAUAAUGAAUAUAUCUUAACUAAGAACUGUAAAAUUUGAGUAAAAAUUACAAGAAAUUGAAGUUGAAGAUGAGAAAAAUUCUAAGAAAUUUAAUUGUGUGAGACACUAAAAAUCGUGUGUUAGUUUAGUGAAAAGUGGUUAAUGCAUGCCCGAGGCCAAAGGUCUAAAAGGUUCAUGUUUACUGUUACGCGAUCUUUAAAGUUAUUUAUUUUUCAAUAAAAUUAUUUAUGUCACCUAUGUGUAUGCUGCAGGCAUCAUACUGUGUCUGGAAUGAGGUUUGUAUUGUAGUGAUCUUCUGAUGCAAGGUGGUAACGCUCCAUGUUUCUGUGUAUGAACUUGUUCUGCAAAAUUUACAAGUUAAUAAUAAUAAUAAUAACAAUAAUAAUAAUAAUAAUAAUAACUUACACUUCACUCUUGCCAACAAUUUCUGCAUACUCAGAUGCGCAGGCAACGACGACUCUUUCAUCCAAUACACAGCAAUUGGGAUUUGAUUCA
rnacentral:lncRNA from 1 species